rnacentral:lncRNA from 1 species
AAUGUCCUCGCCAUUCUAUUCAAAGAGAAGAGUCAUCCUGGAACAGCCGUGCUGGAACUCUCAGAACUCAGUGUGCUUGAGGGGUAUGUGGAUCUGUCUUUUGGUUGUGGGUACUUUAAGUGAUGAGAAGUUUAAUGUCAGGAGGCACAUGGCGCAACAGGAGACUCCAAGAACAAAAGUCACAGUACAUCCAGGACUCCAGGAAGUGGGGCUGGAUCCAAGGCAGCCUGAACUGGCAGCAGCAGAAGUUAAUGCGGCUUCACUGUUUCUGUGGGUUAGGAAUUCACACAAGACAGAGCAAAGAUGGCUUUUCUCUGCCCCACCAUGUCUGGAGUCUCAGCUGGAAGACUCAGAGGCUGGGAACUGGACCUGCCUGAGGAAGCAGUCACUCACACGUCUGGUGGCUGGCUGUUGCUUGGCACACUAACACAUGGGCCCUCUGUGUGGCUUCCUCAGAAUACAGGAAGGGUCCUGAGAGAGAGCCAAGUGGAAGUUAUAUUGACUUUUAGGGCCGAGCCUCAAAAGUCAGGCAGCAUGACAGGCCAGGCGCGGUUGCUGAUGCCUCUAAUCCCAGCACUUUGGGAGGCCCAAGCUGGCGGAUCACCUGAGAUCAGGAGCUCGAGAGCAGCCUGACGAACAUGGAGAAACCCUGUCUCUACUAAAAAUACAAAAAAUUAGCCAGACAUGGUGGCGCAUGCCUGUAAUCCCAGCUACUCAGGAGGCAGAAUCGCUUGAACCUGGGAGGCGGAAGUUGCAGUGAGCCGAGAUCGCGCCAUUGCACUCCAGCCUGGGCAACAAGAGCGAAACUCCCUCUCAAGAGAAAAAAGUCAGGCAGCAUGACUACAUUGGAUUCGUUGAGGCAGUUACUAAGGUCAGCCUAGGUUUGGAGGGAGACCCCACCUCACAACAGAGACGUGUUCGCAUCACAUAAGAACAGCAUGAGAGAUGAGAUGAUUUUGGAAAAUACCAUCUGCCAUAUAGCCCAGUCGAUGUGUUGGACUCUGACCAUUCAGAUUAGAAACUUCUUAUUUAUUUAUUAUUUGUUUAUUUUUCCUCAAGACGGAGUCUUGCUGUCCCCAGGCUGGAGUGAAAUGGUGCGAUCUCAGCUCACUGCAACCUCCGCCUCCCAGGUUCAAGCAAUUCUCCUGCCUCAGCCUCCCGAGUAGCUGGCAUUACAGGUGCCUGCCACCAUGACCAGCUAAUUUUUUGUAUUUUUAGUAGAGAUGGGGUUUCACCAUGUUGGCCAGGCUGGUCUCGAACUCCUGACCUCAGGUGAUCCACCCUCCUUGGCCUCCCAAAGUGCUGGGAUUACAGGGGUGAGUCAACGUGCCUGGCGCAGAAACUUCUUCCUCACUGAGGAGGUAGGAAGGACUGGGCCCUGAGGUACACGUGGCCAGGAAGAGUGCCUAAAAUUUUAUUUCUCAUACCACCCCUACCUUUUUUUUUUUUUACAGUUAUUCAUUUAGAGACUCCUUUCUACUCCACUCUUUUUAACUUCCUUUCCUUCCUUGACCCAUGACAAAAAUUCAAACUGUUUUUUUUCUGUUUUGUUUCUGGGGGGAGACAGGGUCUCAGUUUGUUGCCGAGGCUGAGUGCAGUGGCACGAUCAGAGCUCACUGUAGCCUCAACCUCCUGGACUUAAGUGAUCCUCCCGCCUCAGCCUCCCCGAACAGCUGGGAGCACAGGCGAGAGCUACCGCACCCGGUUAAUUUUUUAAUUUUUUGUGGAGACAGGGUCUCACUAUGUUUCCCAGGCUAGUUUCAAACUCGUGGAUUCAAGCAGUCCUCCUGCCUUGGCCUCCCAAAGUGCUGGGAUUACAGGCAUGAGCCACCGUGCCUGGCCUGCAAACUCUCUGGUUUUGGUAUUGAAAUAGGACUAGGUUGAUGGGUAAGAAGGUGCGUAUGUGGAUCCUCUAGAAAGACCCCUACCCAAUCAACCAUCUUCCAAAACAAAAUAAAACAAAACUACAAUCUAACAUUUCAUUUUACUAUGCCAUAAAAAUCUGCAUGAAAGUUAAAUUUGUCUUAAAACUGCAUCAAAUGCUAAAUUCAAAUAAAA